UACGUAGGGUGCAAGCGUUGUCCGGAAUCAUUGGGCGUAAAGAGCUCGUAGGCGGUUUGUUGCGUCGGCUGUGAAAUCCCGAGGCUCAACCUCGGGUCUGCAGUCGAUACGAGCAAACUAGAGUGUUGCAGGGGAGACUGGAAUUCCUGGUGUAGCGGUGAAAUGCGCAGAUAUCAGGAGGAACACCAGUAGCGAAGGCGGUGGUCUGGGCCGGCACUGACGCUGAGGAGCGAAAGCGUGGGGAGCGAACAGG
rnacentral:rRNA from 1 species